rnacentral:misc_RNA from 1 species
GUGAAUCAUCAAAUCUUUGAACGCAAAUUGCACUCUCUUCGGAGAGUAUGCCUGUUUGAGGGUCAGCCUAAAAAAAAAUCGACAUAGUCGCUGUUUCCCGGUGCCAUUCGUCGGGAAUUUGGUCAUCUUUAACCUUUUGGUUUUAAGCGGCGUAAAAUUUUCUUUACGAUUUCACGGACGUUUUUAAAGUUUACUUCUUAUACGUUUAAGGUAUAGGUCUUUUUUCAGCGUG